rnacentral:rRNA from 1 species
UCCAGACUCCUACGGGAGGCAGCAGUGGGGAAUAUUGGGCAAUGGGCGCAAGCCUGACCCAGCAAUGCCGCGUGAAGGAAGAAGGAUUUCGGGUUGUAAACUUCUUUGACAGGGGAAGAGCAGAAGACGGUACCCUGAAAACAAGCCACGGCUAACUACGUGCCAGCAGCCGCGGUAAUACGUAGGUGGCAAGCGUUGUCCGGAUUUACUGGGUGUAAAGGGGGCGCAGACGGCGAUGCAAGCCAGGAGUGAAAGCCCGGGGCCCAACCCCGGGACUGCUCUUGGAACUGCGUGGCUGGAGUGCAGGAGGGGCAGGCGGAAUUCCUGGUGUAGCGGUGAAAUGCGUAGAUAUCAGGAGGAACACCGGUGGCGAAGGCGGCCUGCUGGACUGCAACUGACGUUGAGGCCCGAAAGCGUGGGGAGCAAACAGGAUUAGAUACCCCAGUA